UUUUAUGAGAGUUUGAUCCUGGCUCAGGACGAACGCUGGCGGCGUGCCUAAUACAUGCAAGUCGAACGCUUCUUUUUCCACCGGAGCUUGCUCCACCGGAAAAAGAAGAGUGGCGAACGGGUGAGUAACACGUGGGUAACCUGCCCAUCAGAAGGGGAUAACACUUGGAAACAGGUGCUAAUACCGUAUAACAAUCAAAACCGCAUGGUUUUGAUUUGAAAGGCGCUUUCGGGUGUCGCUGAUGGAUGGACCCGCGGUGCAUUAGCUAGUUGGUGAGGUAACGGCUCACCAAGGCCACGAUGCAUAGCCGACCUGAGAGGGUGAUCGGCCACAUUGGGACUGAGACACGGCCCAAACUCCUACGGGAGGCAGCAGUAGGGAAUCUUCGGCAAUGGACGAAAGUCUGACCGAGCAACGCCGCGGGAGUGAAGAAGGUUUUCGGAUCGUAAAACUCUGUUGUU
rnacentral:rRNA from 1 species